rnacentral:misc_RNA from 1 species
UAAGCUACAAAGUCAUAAUCGAAUCCAAAGCUCAUAGGAACUCUUAUACUAUGUUGUGACCCUGGGUCUCUGUCAUAGCUACAAUGGAGUAUUGAUCAAUAACAUGGGUUCUAUUGUAAUGACGUACUGAUCAAUAACAUUACCUCUAUGUCAUGGCUAUAAUGAAGUAUUGAACAAAAACAAAGAACUAUUCUCCCCCAUCUCAAUCUUUUCUUCUUUCACCUCUGUUAUGCCGAAGAUUAUACCAUGUAUUCUUCACUCAUUAACGAUUAUGUAACAUUUGGCAACGUCUUGAGCUCCACUAGAUUAAAGAGAAAGAGCACCAAUGUCUCCUCAUGAAAACCAACUGCUAG